rnacentral:lncRNA from 1 species
GACAGCAGAGCAAAUCAGUUGCCUGGAGUUCCCAGUGAAGUUGUACCUGUGCCCGUGCGAUAACGUCAGUGGAAGCUGCCCCGAGUUUGGGGCUUUAGCCCCUUGGAGAAAACAGGGCCACAUAGCUGCCUUUCUAUCAAGUCUCCCUACAAAACUGAGAGGCUCUGGGAAACUCAGCCUGUGACCCCAGCGUGGGUGAAGAUAGGAUCAAGAUGGCCAUGUGGCAGGGGUGCCAUGGAUAACAGAGGCUUUCAGCAGGGGAGUUUUAGUAGCUUCCAGAACAGCUCCAGUGAUGAAGACCUGAUGGACAUUCCAGCAACCGCUAUGGAUUUCUCCAUGAGAGAUGAUGUUCCUCCCUUAGACCGAGAAGUAGGAGGUAUCAUUAUUGGUGAUGAUAAUUUAUCUUAAUUUUUUAAAAUUUAUGUACAAUAAAAUUUUAUUUUUUUUUAAUUUUA